CGCCCUCCCGUCCGCCGCCACUACACGACCUACCGUAACGGGACGGACGACGACGAGGGUAGGGGUAACGUUCGUUCGACAACUAAGUACGGAACGUAAACGUACGUAGUAGUGCAGACGAACCGCCGCGGGUGGGGAGUAGAAGUCUUCGUCGGUAGUACGUUAACCCUUACCGACCCGAAGAAUGCCGCAAGGGUUUGACGGUACGGGUAUAAGAAGCCCGGCUAACUACGUGCCAGCAGCCGCGGUAAUAC
rnacentral:rRNA from 1 species